rnacentral:rRNA from 1 species
AUUGAACGCUGGCGGCGUGCCUAACACAUGCAAGUCGAGCGGUAACAGGUGUAGCAAUACAUGCUGACGAGCGGCGGACGGGUGAGUAACGCUUGGGAAUCUGCCUGUUAGUGGGGGACAACCCGGGGAAACGUCGGGCUAAUACCGCAUACGCACUACGGUGGAAAGCCGGGGACCGCAAGGCCUGGCGCUAACAGAUGAGCCCAAGUCGGAUUAGCUAGUUGGUAGGGAACGGCCUACCAAGGCGACGAUCCGUAACUGGUCUGAGAGGACGACCAGUCACACCGGAACUGAGACACGGUCCGGACUCCUACGGGAGGCAGCAGUGGGGAAUAUUGGACAAUGGGCGAAAGCCUGAUCCAGCGACGCCGCGU